rnacentral:rRNA from 1 species
UUGACCUCAAAUCAGGUAGGACUACCCGCUGAACUUAAGCAUAUCAAUAAGCGGAGGAAAAGAAACUAACAAGGAUUCCCCUAGUAACUGCGAGUGAAGAGGGAAAAGCUCAAAUUUAAAAUCUGGCAGUCUCCGAUUGUCCGAGUUGUAAUUUAGAGAAGUGUUACCCGUGUUGGGCCGUGUAUAAGUCUCCUGGAAUGGAGCGUCAUAGAGGGUGAGAAUCCCGUCUUUGACACGGACUUCCAAUGCAUUGUGGUACGCUCUCAAAGAGUCGAGUUGUUUGGGAAUGCAGCUCUAAAUGGGUGGUAAAUUCCAUCUAAAGCUAAAUAUUGGGGAGAGACCGAUAGCGAACAAGUACCGUGAGGGAAAGAUGAAAAGAACUUUGGAAAGAGAGUUAAACAGUACGUGAAAUUGCUAAAA